UCCCUGGCAGUCCAGUGGUUAGGACACUGUAUUUCUACUGUAGGGGACAUGGGUUUGAUCCCUAGUUGGGGAA
rnacentral:tRNA from 1 species